rnacentral:rRNA from 1 species
UACGAGGGGUGCAAGCGUUGCUCGGAAUUAUUGGGCGUAAAGGGUAGGUAGGUGGUCUCAUUUGUCCGGGGUGAAAGCCUUGAGCUUAACUCAAGAAGUGCCUCGGAAACGGUGAGACUAGAGUCUUGGAGAGGGUCGUGGAAUUCCCGGUGUAGCGGUGAAAUUCGUAGAUAUUCGGAAGAACACCAGUGGCGAAGGCGACUUACUGGACACAUAUUGACGCUGAGGUGCGAAAGCGUGGGGAGCAAACAGG